GGCUUUGCUUGCGUGGCAUCAUGCGCUGCCCGUGCUCAGGAACAGGUGUGGGCUCCCCUUCAAAACCCAACAAACGCUACCAGGAUGGAUGGCUUUUCGGGCAUGAAAUCUCCAUUCACUGAUGAUGGAGAGGGCUGUUAGGAGAUACCCAGAUCUGGUGGGAAAACAGGAAGAGGGCAACCAGAGAGGGCGAGAGGGCCGCCCACGGUCACCCACAAGCUUAGGAACAAAGUUGGCAGCAUGAGGAGUCUGGGUUCGAAUCCUAGCACAGCCGGUCGGAUCGCUAGCAGUUAAAACCUCAGGCUCAGGUUUUUCUGCCACUUAUUCGGCAAGAGGCUGGUGGCCUGCCUCUGCCCUCCUGGGGGAAGUAUGACGGCAGGAGAGACUCAGAGAUGUCCUUCCUGCCUAGCAGAAGAGUCACCUCUCCCAGGAAGCCCUCCUGGCUGACCUCACCUGCUCAGACGGCUCCUCCCAACUGCCAUGGCCUCUGUCCCUCUCUCAUGUGGUCCUACCCUGUGGCUCUGCCCUGUGGCUCAUGGCUCUGUUUACAGUGCACAGAGUGU
ensembl:lncRNA